rnacentral:rRNA from 1 species
UGGGGAAUAUUGGACAAUGGAGGAAACUCUGAUCCAGCAAUGCCGCGUGAGUGAAGAAGGCUUUCGGGUUGUAAAACUCUUUCAGUAGGGAAGAUAAUGACGGUACCUACAGAAGAAGCCCCGGCAAACUUCGUGCCAGCAGCCGCGGUAAGACGAAGGGGGCUAGCGUUGUUCGGAAUUACUGGGCGUAAAGGGUGCGUAGGCGGCCAUUCAAGUUAGACGUGAAAGCCCAGGGCUUAACCCUGGAAUUGCGUUUAAUACUGUUUGGCUAGAGUUCGAUAGAGGGAAGUAGAAUUCCUAGUGUAGAGGUGAAAUUCGUAGAUAUUAGGAAGAAUACCAGAGGCGAAGGCGGCUUCCUGGAUCGAUACUGACGCUGAGGCACGAAAGCGUGGGGAGCAAACAGG